AUGGUUUUUAAGCUAGACUUUAGGAAAGCAUUUGAUUCGAUAUGCUGGUCCUCCCUCAUUCAAAUUCUGAAGGUUCGAGGUUUUCCUAACACAUUCUGCAGUUGGGUCCAAAACAUCUUCUGCACUGGCAAAACGGCCAUUCUUCUCAACGGUGUUUCAGGGUCCUGGAUUCAAUGUAGAUGUGGCCUUCGCCAGGGUGACCCCUUCUCUCCU
rnacentral:rRNA from 1 species